rnacentral:rRNA from 1 species
GCUCCAAUAGCGUAUAUUUAAGUUGUUGCAGUUAAAAAGCUCGUAGUUGGAUUUCGGGUGGUGCGGGCCGGUCCGCCGUUUCGGUGUGCACUGGCUCCGCUCGCCUUGCUGCCGGGGACGGGCUCCUGGGCUUGAUUGUCCGGGACCGGAGUCGGCGUGGUUACCUUGAGUAAAUUAGAGUGUUCAAAGCAGGCAUACGC